AAUAUUCUGCCUUGUUCGAGUAAUUAUAGUUUUUAUAAUCCAACACAUAAUCCUAGGGAAUUCGACUCCGUAUGUGGACUGCAGACCUCCCGCCCUGCGGAAGAAGGGAGCGAGAAGCAUAAGGGCGUUUACCCACCUGCUUCGUGCGGGUUUUAUGCACUAUAUGACGGCAAGGCGGAUUUUUU
rfam:Ruminococcus flavefaciens 007c Rf007c_contig00751, whole genome shotgun sequence.